ACAGCAGUCGCCGCGGUAAUACCGAGGGUGCGAGCGUUAAUCGGAUUUACUGGGCGUAAAGCGUGCGUAGGCGGCUUUUUAAGUCGGAUGUGAAAUCCCUGAGCUUAACUUAGGAAUUGCAUUCGAUACUGGGAAGCUAGAGUAUGGGAGAGGAUGGUAGAAUUCCAGGUGUAGCGGUGAAAUGCGUAGAGAUCUGGAGGAAUACCGAUGGCGAAGGCAGCCAUCUGGCCUAAUACUGACGCUGAGGUACGAAAGCAUGGGGAGCAAACAGGAUUAGAUACCCCUGUAGUCCCUGUCUCUUAUAC
rnacentral:rRNA from 1 species